rnacentral:rRNA from 1 species
GGAGUCUAGCAUGUGCGCGAGUCAUUGGGACAUAACUAAACCUAAAGGCGUAAUGAAAGUAAAAGUCCGCCUCGCGCGGACCGAGGGAAGAUGGGCGUCGGUCUUCAAACGCCGCGUCCCGCAUUCCCGGGGCGUCUCGUUCUCAUUGCGAGAAGAGGCGCACCAAGAGCGUACACGCUGGGACCCGAAAGAUGGUGAACUAUGCCUGGUCAGGACGAAGUCAGGGGAAACCCUGAUGGAGGUCCGUAGCGAUUCUGACGUGCAAAUCGAUCGUCGGAACUGGGUAUAGGGGCGAAAGACUAAUCGAACCAUCUAGUAGCUGGUUCCCUCCGAAGUUUCCCUCAGGAUAGCUGGCGCUCGAAUUUCACGAGUCUCAUCCGGUAAAGCGAAUGAUUAGAGGCAUUGGGGCCGAAACGGCCUCAACCUAUUCUCAAACUUUAAAUGGGUGAGAUCUCCGGCUUGCUCGAACCGAUGAAGCCGCGAGAUACGGAUCAGAGUGCCAAGUGGGCCAUUUUUGGUAAGCAGAACUGGCGCUGUGGGAUGAACCAAACGUCGAGUUAAAGCGCCCAAAUCGACGCUUAUGGGACACCAUGAAAGGCGUUGGUAACUUAAGACAGCAGGACGGUGGCCAUGGAAGUC